rnacentral:rRNA from 1 species
UAAUACGAAGGGGGCUAGCGUUGCUCGGAAUCACUGGGCGUAAAGGGCGCGUAGGCGGAUGAUUAAGUCGGAGGUGAAAGCCCAGGGCUCAACCCUGGAAUUGCCUUCGAUACUGAUCGUCUCGAGAAUGGAAGAGGUAAGUGGAAUACCGAGUGUAGAGGUGAAAUUCGUAGAUAUUCGGUGGAACACCAGUGGCGAAGGCGACUUACUGGUCCAUUUCUGACGCUGAGGCGCGAAAGCGUGGGGAUCAAACAGG